rnacentral:rRNA from 1 species
AGAGUUUGAUCAUGGCUCAGAUUGAACGCUGGCGGCAUGCCUUACACAUGCAAGUCGAGCGGCAGCGCGGGGGCAACCCUGGCGGCGAGCGGCGAACGGGUGAGUAAUACAUCGGAACGUGUCCUUUCGUGGGGGAUAACCAGUCGAAAGACUGGCUAAUACCGCAUGAGAUCUCACGAUGAAAGCGAGGGACCGCAAGGCCUCGCGCGAUUGGAGCGGCCGAUGUCGGAUUAGCUAGUUGGCGGGGUAAAAGCCCACCAAGGCGACGAUCCGUAGCUGGUUUGAGAGAACGACCAGCCACACUGGGACUGAGACACGGCCCAGACUCCUACGGGAGGCAGCAGUGGGGAAUUUUGGACAAUGGGCGCAAGCCUGAUCCAGCCAUGCCGCGUGUGUGAAGAAGGCCUUCGGGUUGUAAAGCACUUUCGGCCGGAACGAAAUCGCGCGGGUUAACAGUCCGCGUGGAUGACGGUACCGGAAGAAGAAGCACCGGCUAACUACGUGCCAGCAGCCGCGGUAAUACGUAGGGUGCGAGCGUUAAUCGGAAUUACUGGGCGUAAAGGGUGCGCAGGCGGCGUCGCAAGUCAGGCGUGAAAUCCCCGGGCUUAACCUGGGAACUGCACUUGAAACUACGAUGCUGGAGUAUGGCAGAGGGAGGUGGAAUUCCACGUAGCGGUGAAAUGCGUAGAGAUGUGGAGGAACACCGAUGGCGAAGGCAGCCUCCUGGGCCAAUACUGACGCUCAUGCACGAAAGCGUGGGGAGCAAACAGGAUUAGAUACCCUAGUAGUCC